CGCCUUGCCAGCCCGCUCAGAAACUUAAAGGAAUUGACGGGGGCCCGCACAAGCGGUGGAGCAUGUGGUUUAAUUCGAUGAUACGCGAGGAACCUUACCUGGGCUCAAAUGUAUGUUGACGUAUUCUGAAAGGGAUACUUCUUCGGACAAUAUACAAGGUGCUGCAUGGUUGUCGUCAGCUCGUGCCGUGAGGUGUCGGGUUAAGUCCCAUAACGAGCGCAACCCCUACCUUUAGUUGCCAUCAGGUUAAGCUGGGGACUCUAAAGGAACUGCCUACGCAAGUAGUGAGGAAGGCGGGGAUGACGUCAAAUCAGCACGGCCCUUACGUCCAGGGCUACACACGUGCUACAAUGGCCGAUACAGAGGGCAGCUACCUGGUGACAGGAUGCAAAUCUCCAAAGUCGGUCUCAGUUCGGAUCGGAGUCUGCAACCCGACUCCGUGAAGUUGGAUUCGCUAGUAAUCGCGCAUCAGCCAUGGCGCGGUGAAUACGUUCCCGGGCCUU
rnacentral:rRNA from 1 species